AGCGAACGCUGGCGGCAGGCUUAACACAUGCAAGUCGAGCGGGCAUCCUUGUGGUGUCAGCGGCAGACGGGUGAGUAACGCGUGGGAACGUGCCCUUCGGUUCGGAAUAACUCAGGGAAACUUGAGCUAAUACCGGAUACGCCCUUUUGGGGAAAGGUUUACUGCCGAAGGAUCGGCCCGCGUCUGAUUAGCUAGUUGGUGAGGUUAUGGCUCACCAAGGCGACGAUCAGUAGCUGGUCUGAGAGGAUGAUCAGCCACACUGGGACUGAGACACGGCCCAGACUCCUACGGGAGGCAGCAGUGGGGAAUAUUGGACAAUGGGGGCAACCCUGAGCCAGCCAUGCCGCGUGAGGGAUGACGGCCUUAGGGUUGUAAAGCUCUUUUCUCCGGGACGAUAAUGACGGUACCGGAGGAAUAAGCCCCGGCUAACUUCG
rnacentral:rRNA from 1 species